rnacentral:rRNA from 1 species
GAUGAACGCUAGCGGCAGGCCUAACACAUGCAAGUCGAGGGAGGAGCUUUCGGGCUUCGACCGGCGUACGGGUGCGUAACGCGUAUACAAUCUGCCUUUCACAUAGGGAUAGCCCGAAGAAAUUUGGAUUAAUACCUAAUGGUAUAUAGGAGUGGCAUCACAUUUAUAUUAAAGCUGAGGCGGUGAAAGAUGAGUAUGCGUUCUAUUAGCUAGUUGGAGAGGUAACGGCUCCCCAAGGCGACGAUAGAUAGGGGUUCUGAGAGGGAUGUCCCCCACACUGGUACUGAGAUACGGACCAGACUCCUACGGGAGGCAGCAGUGAGGAAUAUUGGACAAUGGUCGGAAGACUGAUCCAGCCAUGCCGCGUGCAGGAAGACGGCCUUAUGGGUUGUAAACUGCUUUUCCAGGGGAAGAAUAAGGACUACGAGUAGUUUGAUGACGGUACUCUGCGAAUAAGCAUCGGCUAACUCCGUG